rnacentral:rRNA from 1 species
AUUGAACGCUGGCGGCAGGCCUAACACAUGCAAGUCGAACGAGUGGCGGACGGGAGAGUAAUGUCUGGGAAACUGCCCUAUGGAGGGGGAAAACCACGGGAAACGGUCUCUAACAGCGCAUACCAUCGGAUGUGCCCAGAUGGGAUUAGCUAGGAGGUGGGGAAAGGGCUCACCUAGGCGAAGCUCCCUAGCUGGUCCGAGAGGAUGACCAGCCACACUGGAACUGAGACACGGUCAAGACUCCUACGGGAGGCAGCAGUGGGGAAUAUUGCACAAUGGGCGCAAGCCUGAUGCAGCCAUGCCGCGUGUAUGAAGAAGGCCUUCGGGUUGUAAAGUACUUUCAGCGAGGAGGCGUUACUCGCAGAAGAAGCACCGGCUAACUCCGUGCCAGCAGCCGCGGUAAUUC